AAAUUGAAAAGUACAUAUAUGAAAUAUGAUUUAAAUUUUUUUGUACGAAAAGUGAUAAAUAAAAACAAAAAUUGAUUAUAAAUAUAAAACGAAAAAGGAUCUAGAUGGCGCUUUAACGAGACUGUUGUUUCUUUCGUUACUUCCUUGUGUUCGUUUUAUUCGUCAAGUUGCAUGGUGUGUGUGUGUAUAUGGAAUAAAAACUGUCGGAAUUUUACUAAUUAAUUUAUAAUAUAGUAAAUUAACAAAAAUGGUGGACCUCAGUGGCGGUUCAGAAGGUCCAUUAGAACAUGGUUUUAGUAAUGCUGUUUUUAUUUUUCCCGCCCUGAUAGUUGUGGGCCUAUCAGGUUUUGAACACGUAUCACAAAAUUAAUGGAUACAGAUAGUAAAGCAUACACGUUGAAAAGAAGCCACGUUGGCCUGUUGAUAUCAUUCAGUUCAUUUCUUGUUCUGAUCGUCUCUAUUAUAAAUUCUUGUACAGAGAUAAUUCGUCCGUGAGGAGAAAUUCAUUCAGAGUGAAAUAAUCGAAAAAGUGCACAUGUUCUUUUAAAAUAAAGCAAACAUAAGAAACAGGAUGUGGAGAACACUUUUGCUUGGUUUGACUGGUUUCGCAUAUGCUCAAGAAGCUGACGAUGACGAUGCUGUUGUUAAUGAUGUACCUGAAAAUAAAAUUCCAAGUCCACAAGAACUUCUUAAAAUGUUAAAUUCUAUGGGUCUGUCGGAGGAGGAAAAAAAUAAAUUACGUGAAGAUAUAAUGAAUUCUCAAGGGGGUCAAUUAGGGCCUGAUAUGGAGGAGAACAUUGCAACUACUAACGUCUUUUUUUCCCAAACUAUACUUCUUCUUCUUUUAUUAUCACUGAUUUCUUCAAUAUUUGAGAAUUGCAAGACGAAGAAAAGUGGCAUUUUAAUCAAGCCAUAAAAGACAUUGUUAAAAAAACAUUAAACAAUUUGUUAGACCAUAAAAACAAUCGAAGUAAAUGGCUAACGUGGCUCAUAGACAGUCGUAUUAUUUUUCUAAUCUCUACAUUUAUCAUUAAUUUUCUAUUUGUUUUCUUUGGAUACAAACUAUAUAAAAGUUUGUCUGAACGAGAAAGAAAGCGUGAAGAAAAGAAGAAAAUGAAGCAAUUAAAGAAGAAGAAAUAAAAGAUUUAAAAAAAUCAAAUAGCGAAGAAUCAAAACAGCAUGUGUUGUGAAAAAAAAAAUUGCAAAUGAAAACAUUUGACGAUUGAUAUCAACUAUAAAGAAAGAAAUCACGAAUUGUUUUGUUACGUUAUCAAAGAUUUAUAUCUCAUGUACAAUAAUUAAACAUUCCUUAUUUUAUGUGUAUUAACUAUAUUUUGUUAAAUAAAUUGUCUAUUUCUCA